UGUUCAGUAGCACCUUAGAGACCAACUAAGUUUGUUUUGGGUAUAAGCUUUUGUGUGCAUGCUGAUACUCAGAACAAACUUAGUUGGUCUCUGAGGUGCUACUGGACA